rnacentral:rRNA from 1 species
UACGUAGGGUGCAAGCGUUAAUCGGAAUUACUGGGCGUAAAGGGCUCGUAGGUGGCCAACUAAGUCAGACGUGAAAUCCCUCGGCUUAACCGGGGAACUGCGUCUGAUACUGGAUGGCUUGAGUUUGGGAGAGGAAUGUGGAAUUCCAGGUGUAGCGGUGAAAUGCGUAGAUACUGGAGGAACACCGGUGGCGAAGGCGGCAUUCUGGACCGAAACUGACGCUGAGGCGCGAAAGCCAGGGGAGCAAAGCGGG